UGGAGCCCGGCUACCUGUUCCUGGGCUCCCGCCUGGGCAACUCGCUGCUCCUCAAGUACACGGAGAAGCUGCAGGAGGCGCCGGUGGCCGCGGCCAAGGACGCGGGGGACAAGCAGGAGGAGCCGCCGCUGAAGAAGAAGCGAGCGGA